rnacentral:rRNA from 1 species
CACGUAGGGGACGAGCGUUGUCCGGAUUCAUUGGGCGUAAAGCGCGCGUAGGCGGCUCGGAAAGUCGGCCGUGAAAUGCCGGGGCUCAACCCCGGGACUGCGUCCGAUACUCCCGAGCUGGAGGCAGGUAGGGGAGAUCGGAAUUCCUGGUGUAGCGGUGAAAUGCGCAGAUAUCAGGAGGAACACCGGUGGCGAAGGCGGAUCUCUGGGCCUUGCCUGACGCUGAGGCGCGAAAGCUAGGGGAGCGAACAGG